AGGCUUUGAUCCUGGCUCAGGAUGAACGCUAGCGGCAGGCUUAAUACAUGCAAGUCGAACGGUAACAGGUCCAGCAAUGGACGCUGACGAGUGGCGCACGGGUGCGUAACACGUAUGCAACCUACCCUUUACAAGGGCAUAACCCUGAGAAAUCGGGGCUAAUACCCUAUAGUAUCCAUGAAGUGGCAUCACUUUAGGAUUAAAGUUUCGGCGGUAAAGGAUGGGCAUGCGCCCCAUUAGCUAGUUGGUAAGGUAACGGCUUACCAAGGCGAUGAUGGGUAGGGGUCCUGAGAGGGUUAUCCCCCACACUGGUACUGAGACACGGACCAGACUCCUACGGGAGGCAGCAGUAAGGAAUAUUGGGCAAUGGGCGAGAGCCUGACCCAGCCAUGCCGCGUGCAGGAAGACGGCCCUAUGGGUUGUAAACUGCUUUUAUACGGGAAUAAUAGCACCUACGUGUAGGUGUAUGCAAGUACCGUUAAGAAUAAGCAUCGGCGUACAUC
rnacentral:rRNA from 1 species